UACAGAGGGGGCAAGCGUUGUUCGGAAUUACUGGGCGUAAAGGGCGCGUAGGCGGCCUGUUAAGUCGAACGUGAAAUCCCUGGGCUCAACCCAGGAACUGCGUCCGAUACUGGCAGGCUUGAAUUCGGGAGAGGGAUGCAGAAUUCCAGGUGUAGCGGUGAAAUGCGUAGAUAUCUGGAGGAAUACCGGUGGCGAAGGCGGCAUCCUGGACCGACAUUGACGCUGAGGAGCGAAAGCUAGGGGAGCAAACGGG
rnacentral:rRNA from 1 species